rnacentral:lncRNA from 1 species
GAACAAGGGUCCACCAAGCACAGUCACCUCACUUCUUCCCCACAGCAGCCCUGUUAGGCAAAUGUUUUCAACAUGAAAAGAUGGAGUCUUAAGCAAGUGUAUCGGUAAUAAUUGCCAGUUUUAUUCCCCUGGCUAGGUGAUCAAGAGGUAAUUUGAAGUUUACAUAUCUUUUUUAUAGUCCUGUUAUUAAGAGUUUAUUAACUGUUUCAUUGCCCUUCAAAGGUGAUUAACAAGUUUUUUUAUUGUGUUUAUUUUAGGUUUUUUUCAUGGCACAAGUAAUACACACACAUACACACACAUAUAUAUAGUUCAUUUUUUUUGGAAAAUGAGGAGAUGCAAAUAGGCAAAAAAGGAAAAAAAAUACAGGUCACACAGAGAUUCACAGUUAACCCUUUGGUGUAUAAUAAUUCAGACUUUUUUGCAUUUAUGACCUAUAUAAAUGUACACAUAAGAUAUAUAUAGCUAGAUCUAUAUAUAUCAUUUUGCAGCAUAUUCUUUUCACUUUACAAUGUACAAUGAGCAUCUUCCCAUGCAAACGAAUGAAACAACCCUAUUAAAUGAGUGAGAUUGGGUCAAAAGAUGAAGUGUUGGUAACAAGAGUCAUGUAUAAAUCAAAAGAACACUGAAGGAUUGAAAUAAAAUAGUAGCAAAUAUUUAGCAAGAAAAGGCAGACAAAAAGGACCAAUGAUGGCAAUAUUAACAAAGAAAACAGUUGAACUGGGCGAAGAAAUGCAUUAAAUGGGAUAAGGACCCCCACGAGAAUGCCUAUAGUUAGAAUGCAGAGCCCUAAAUUUCCUUCUCAGACCCCUUAUCUCUUCCAAACACCUUUCCAUCUCAUCUCCCUCUCUUGUCAUUUCUUCAUCCCUAAAAUGCCUAUAGUCUAUGUCCUCUUUAAAUUCCUCGAGAGACUGAAGCAGCCUUUGCCUAAAAUUCCCUUCUGUUUGCUGGCGUUCAAAUUCUCCAUAGGGGCGUUCUUCCUCUCUCUUUGGCACGCUGCACUUGGACUUUCCUUCGUUUUCUUUGCAGGAUUUUUGCAUGAUGGGUCGUUUCCUGACGUCUGUGAACACAGACCUACGGACCUGCAGACCUGCAGACCGAAAGGAAGGGGGUGGGGACGAGGAGGAGGGAGUUCCCUGUGGAUGGACCAGCCCCAGAGACAAG